GAGGGAGUACUUAGGUCCCUCAGAAGCGGUGUGUUAAUAGUGAUGCUUUUGGCCAGGCAUGACGGUUAGUGAAUC
ncrna:unclassified sequences L13-Bacteroidia ribosomal protein leader